GCUUCCUCAUUUCUUUAUUUUUUUCUCUUGCAGAUGGUCCUGUGGUUUCACUUCCUAUUUGGUUUCUGAACUCUCUGAGCACGAGACUUGGAGACGUGGAGUCCUUUCACUGCAGCUUUCAAAACCUUUCUUAGGGCUGAUAUGACAAUUGCUGGCACUGCGUAAUUGCUGUGUGGCUACUUGAAAACUUCUCCACUAGAGACUCACUGAGAGCACCUAUUCUGUUGAAUGGAUUUGGCACAAGGAGGAGGAGAGAAGACAAAUGGCCUGGGCUGGUAAGAGACAAAAGUGCCGUGUGUGAGUCUUGGCCCACCUACCUGCUGUGAGACUCUGGGCAAAUCACCUGGUCCCUCUCUUCCCACAUCUUCUGAUGAGCCUUGCUGCCUAUUUCCUGAGUAGCUCAGUGGCCACCAGAGACCCCAGGCUCUUUAUCAACAUUUCAAGAUUGUGUAAGUUCUGGCAUUUUGUACAUUAUCAAAAAGAGAAGGCUAAGACCUAAGUCAGGCUAAAUUUGAUUCAGGAAAACACCUGACGUUUUUGUACUUAAGUAUCGAGGGGUAAAUCACAUCUUUUGCACCUGAAUCCGUAAGAACUGUGGCCUAACCCUCUUCUUCUGGAGAACUCACUUUCCUGUCUUUCUGAGACUCCAGCUAGAUAGUCCUUUGGCAGAUGUUGACCCCAUACUACCUUCUCCGUGGGCAACAUCUGAGUGCAUGGUCUACCUUAGUGAAGGACCUCUCCUUGCCCCUGAAGCACUUCUAUCAUCCUGGACCUCAACGUGGAAUGGUGACCCCUACCUGCCCCACCAGUCACGACCACCUUCUUCCAGCACCUCCAAUGUGUCUGCCCUCCAGCACCACCUGCUCCCAACGUAAGACUGCUGGGGUGAGGUUGCAAAACUUGUGUCUCCCUUAAGUAUGGCUUCUGUACAGAUUAGCCCAGAGACCAUGUCCCAACAAAAUGCCACCAGGAACUCAUGUGGGACGGAGCUGGAAGAUGCCAGCGGUUGCCCCUUCCCCAUGUUAGUGCCUCUUUUCUCCGCACCAACCCUCAGUUCACACCAGAAUGAGACUGCCUGCAUUCACUUUCUGCUCUUACUUCAGAGAAUGUGGCUUAUUCUCAGGCAAUGAACCAGAGGACAACAGACAUUUUCUUUGAGGGAAAUGCAACUUUUUGAAAUUAAAAGGGCAUUUUGUUUUAAUUGAAGAACAUUCAGAUCAGAAACUGGGUUAAAAAUAAACACUGCAGAGCCAGACACAGUGGCUCAGGCCUGUAAUCUUAGCAUUUUGGGAGGCCAAGGCAGGUGGAUCACUUGAGGCCAGGAGUUCAAGACCAGCCUGGCCAACAUGGCAAAAGCCAUCUCUACUAAAAAUAUAAAAAUUAGCAGGGCAUGGUGGCAUCGGCCUGUAAUCCCAGCUACCUGGGAGGCCGAGGCAUGAGAAUCGCUUGAACCUGGGAAGCGGAGGUUGCAGUGAGCCGAGAUCAUGCCACCACACUCCAGCCUGGGCAACAGAGCGAGACUCUGUCUCAAAAUAAAAUAAAAUAAAAUAAUAAGUAAACCCUGCAGAAUCUGAGAGAACAGAGCUCUCGAUGUGGGGGUCUGAUCAGUUUUCCAAGCGUCAACAGACUGGUCCUUCCUAGGAUGCGUGUUUCUUCUGCGGUCGUGUUUACACAUUGGUUUCUGGCAAGAGCAAAGUGUUUGCUUGUGACCUUAAAUAAAAUGCAGACAUCACCUCACUGAGUCUCAUCAAAAGCAGAACUUGUCCUCUCAUUCAUCUUUGUCAGACCAGCAGGAGCAGCCAGGCUAGGUCAUCCAGGGUGACAGUCUCCUUCUCCAUGGAGGUGAAGAUUUCAUCCUGCAUUCUGCUAAUCGGGCUUGGGCCCGCCUUAACCCUGUGAGUGGUUAACACUCC
rnacentral:lncRNA from 10 species